ensembl:lncRNA
UUUUUUUUUGUUUUUUUUUUCAGAAUUUAGCCUAAGUCAAACUUGGUUAGCCAGUAGAAACUGCAAUUUUUGUUGCAAGGAGUUGGAAGUAAUUUAGUGUACAAAGCAAACUUUUUCUUAAAACUUUAUGUGAGAGGUUAAAAUCAUGAAACUGCAAAGUAAAACAAAAAAAAUUGUUCAGAGCAGAAGGGGAGAAAGGAAUAUGAGGUAUUUAUGCUUAUUUCUCCAGAGUAUGUAGAGAUUCACGGUAACUUUUAGUUAUUUAGUGGUGUUCACCUACCAGGACUCAAGCAUCCUGUGGGAUAGGACAGUUUGGGUGCUGGUUUACACAUGCAAGGAAAAGCAGGGCCAAGUUGUGGUCCUCACUGAGCAUCAAAACCUGUUUAAUUCCUUGACUGCCACAGGCAAUGAUUUGGGAGUCAGCCUCUUCUCCCAGCAAACCCGUGACAGGACAAGGGGACGUAGCCUCAGACUGUGCCAGGGGAGGCUCAGGUUAAACAUCAGAAAGAAUUUCCUCACUGAAGGGGUUGUUAAACACUGGAAUAGGCUGCUCAGGGAGGUGAUGGAGUCACCAUUCCUAGGAACGUUCAAGUGCACUUAGGCACUUGGGUUUAGUUGGCCUGGUGGUGUUUGGUCAAAGCUUGAACUCAGUGAUCUUGGAGCUCUUCUCCAACCUUAAUUGCUCUUUGAAUUUAUGAUUCUAAGUAGAUUGUUUCCUGACAGUUGCUCUUCCUUACUCUUCCUAAUGUUUCCAUUGUCUCUGCAGGGUAAGACAAAACACCUUCACAUUUCCCAUUACCUCUCUCCCACCAAUAACCGUGAUUUCCUAGCAGUAAGUUAGAUCAAAUAUUUUUAAUUGUUAAUUCACAAUGUAGUAAAUCAUACACACGCAUGAACAUAUGUUAAAAAGUGAAACAACAAUAUGUUCUGAGGACUUAUUAAAGUAAUCAAGAUGCUUUUGCUCCUUCCUCAUGAGCAUUAAUUAUACUUCAGUAUACUCCGGUAUAACAAGUAGAGCAACAGUAAGAUAUUAUCUUCAAGGCCUCCUGCAUGACUUCAUGAGUCUAUACUGAUCUGAUUUUCCAAUGUUGACAGGGGUGUGAAAGAACAGGGAAAGGAGAGGAAAUUGGCUGUGCACAUAUAUAAUGUGCAUAUACACAUUAUAUACACGGCUUACUUUUCUUCCUGUAGAGCAAUAUUUCUCACCUCUAGCUCGUGCCACGAAGCACUAUGGAGUCUCCCAUCUUGUUAGGCAGCUGAACACAAGGCACAUUUCUCUGUAGAUAAAAAUCUGUUACAGAACACCUAUAUAGCUGGAGGUAUUCAUGCUGUCACUCUUUGUGGAAGAAGCUGGAUUUAAAACAAAAGAGAGUACAACUUGCCGGACAGUCCAGAUUCUUUACGCACUUUAAAAACCAUUCUAAAAGAAAAAACUGUGUUCCAAAAAUAGGCAAAAGAGGGCUAUGGGUUUGCUUGGGGUUUUUUUUGUUUCCUUUGUAUUUAUUGUUUUUUUAAGGAAACAGGGAAACUGACUUAUGUAAUCUGCUUUGCUAGCAAAGACUGGCUUUUUGCAAAUCAUAUUGACGGAAGUCUAAGUGUCUAAUAGGACCCUUCUGCUUUUAUCCAACACAAGGUCUCAUUUCAAAGAACAGAAAAGAUAAAAGACCAGGCUUCAUGUACAGGUCAAUUUCUUAAUACAUUAUUUGAUGUUUUAAAUCACUUCAUUUGCACUUCUAUAGCUCGAUUUUCUGACAAUCUGAACUCUAAAAUGUAUUUAACAGUGCAUUUCCUACUGCUUUCACUAAGGCAUGCAUGUCUGCAGGGCAGGGCAGCAGCAGUCAAGCUGGUCUGAAUGAUUUUGCCCUUUUCCACUAGCACCAUAUCAAGUGGACAGAGUAGCAAGUGAUUUUGAAACUUAUACCACUAAAGAUUUGUUAAGCAAUUUUAUUCUAGACAGAAUGGCCCUUUAUCCAACUUAUUUUGUGUUUGGAAAGAUUGUGAAAUGUUAAACUCUUGUAGCAGUCCAUAAAAUGUUUCACAGUAUUAAAUGUGUAAUAAUAAAACUGCUUUCAAGAAUAGGACAAAUCAAAGAUAUAAUGAGCCAAAAUAAAUUUGCAAAACUAUUGUACAUAUCAAAACGUAAUAAGACUGUGCAAUUCUGCUAAUUUUAUUUGCUCUUUUCAAAUGUGAGAUUUUAUGCAGUGUUUUACAUCCUUUAUGGAAAGGCAUCCCAAAAAUUUCUUUUAAACAACAUUUUUUAAUAUCCCAUCAAGGUAAAGUAUUUACAGAACAUCUAUUAUCCAAAAUUCUAUUGUCAGGUGGCAAGAUUUUCUAAAGCAUGCUGUCCAAGCAGUGACUAAAAUACUCAAAAUUUUGUGCUCAUCUAUAGAGGUGUGCAUAUUAUUUUUUCAUAUAAAAUCCCUGAAAUUAUUUCCUUACUAUUUUUCCUUUUAUAAAAUGUCUAAUGACAAGCAUUGACCCUUUUCCAGGAAAUAUGCAGCAGGUUUUCAAAGAGAUUCACUGAUCCACACAAUUUAAAUGACAAUGAAACUAGUAUUUUUUCAUGUUUAUAAUUUGUGUUGACGAGCACUGCCUUUUUUCCUGAGUCAACUACCACUAUACAGUUAUUCUUUUCUACAUCUUGCUAUUUAACUCAGGCAGCCAAAGCCAUUUCAUAAUUUCCUUAGAUCUAUUAUGCAGUAGUCUAGUUUGGAGGUUUUGGUGAAAAGUGUUUGGGUUUUUUAACUGAAAUCACUCUCUAAUGUCCACUCUCUUAAAAAUAUAAAUUUGACAAGACUUUUUUUUUCCACAUUUCUCCCCCUUCCUUUCCAUUACUACAGUUUCAGUAUAUAUAGGCCAAAUGCCUUUCUGCUCCUGAGUUCUUUGGAGAAACUUGCAGAGAGAAGGACUACACAAACCAACAAGGAAGUAUGGUGUCCCCCCAGCUAAAGCAGAUAUUAAAGCACGUGUGAUCUCUUCAGUAGAAAGCUAUUUGGAGCAUGUGUACAGAACAUCUAUUUCUAAUAAUCAGUGCUGCUCCAGGUUCCUUUUAGGUCAAUGUUAUUUCAUGUGAUGGCUGCCUUGUGUCAUAAUUUCCUUUACCAGGUGCUGUUAUACCAAAUCCAUUUAGCAUUCACAGGAACUGAAGAGAGAACAGAACAAGAGCAGAAAUUGCUUUUCUGGGCAACUUCUGAACUUUUCAAAAUCAUCUUUGCUUCUUAGUGGAACAGAGGCAUUUUGAGCAUUUUAGUUAAAACAGUGUUUGGCAUGGAGCUGUUUCCCAGAAAAAAAGAGCAUUGUCAGAGAAAAAAAGUCCUCCUGUGUAUUUGAGGUAACUUUGUAAAAUGUUUCCAGUUCAAGUCCAUGGGCUGCCUGAUCCACAGCAGAAAUUUUUAAUUUCACAUCAAUUGAACAAAACUUUCAUCUACAUCUCGCUUUUUUAAAUCAGAAAUUAACCAUGUCAUUAAAGCUAGAAUUUGCUUUCUCUGCUCUCCUUCCUUCUUCUGGUUUGGCAGAGCUACUGAUUUGACACAAGAAAGACAAGAUGAUUUGGAAUGCUUUGGAUGGAUUUGCCAGGCAUAAAUCAUGCAAAUCUUACCUGGUUGCCUUAUGUCCUAAAAUGACUACAUCUGUGAUAAAGAAAUUGCUAGGAAUGUGUUUUAUAUACUUCAGUUAGGCUUUUGACACUGGGGCCCUGGGAACUGGGCAUGAAUCAGCACUGAACCCUGGCAUCAAAGAUAUCCAGUGUCAUCCAGGGCUGUGUCAGCAGGAGCACUGCCAGAAGCUCGGGGCAGGGCUUGUUGCCUCUGCCCAGCACUCAGGGCUAGACACAUCUGGAUGCUGUGGCUAGUUUAAUGCCCUCCAGCACAGGAAAAACACCAAUAACCUGAAGUGAGUUCAUCCCUGUCGCUAUAGGACACGAGAAAGCACAACGCAAGCCACCUGCUAGUUUGCAAGGUAAAAGAGAGAGUUUAUUUUUUGACUCCAACUUUUAUACUUUUUUAAAGGUGAUUGGAUUGGAGAGUGAAUGGGCCACCUCUCCAAAGACAUUGGACAAACUAUUAGUACAUCAAGUCUCUCCACACCCAUGAAGGAAUGCAAAACAACACGUUAUUUACAGAAACUGUGUGGGAAAGUUUCCCAAUAGAAUGUAGACUCAGAAGGCUUUAGAAAAACUCAAGAAUCAGGGCGACACAUCCCCACAACACUCAGGACUUGAGUGUCCUGUGAGCACUGCCCCAGAGUCUAAGGCAGUGAGUCUUGUCCAGCCUGGAGCAAAGACAGCUUCAGGGGGACACCACAGCCACCCCAGUGCCUAGUGGGGGGUGUAAAGGGAUGUACAGGGGCAGACAGGUUUUCAAGAGCUGUGUGUGGCAGGCCAAGGUACACCAGGCAUGAAGGGCAGUGAGGGGGAUUCAGGCUGUGUGCUGGAACCUUUCCCAGUGAGGACGGGCAGGGAGCAGGCAGAGACAGAUUGCCCAGGCUCCAGUCCUUGAAGGGUUCCGAGGCUCAUCUGGGAAAAGUCCCAAACAACAUGGUCUGACCUCACAACUGGCUCUUCUUGAAGCACGGGUGCAUCCUGAUGUACCUUUCAGCCUAAAAACAAGUGACAUUUAAAUAACACAAAAUUUUCCGGUAAAAGUGUUCUGGUCAGAUUUAGUAAUUAACCUCCAGGUUUCCACAAAAGAAAGCUCAUCUGAUAACUGUGCUCCCACAAGCUGACAGAGACUUCUGAAAGCUCUAAAGGACUGCUUGCAACAUCUUGGCUAUUCUUCUAAAGAAUUAUUAUAAUUUCUUAAUUAAAAUGUCACCAGGACAGACUCAGAGGAUACACUGACAUAUGAAAUAUUCAAGUUGUUAUAAUUUAUCACUUAAUAUUAUUUAAGAUUCAAAAUCAUAAGCAUAAAAAGCAAAAAUUAACAAGGUUGAUUCCAUGCUGAGGCUAAUUUCAUGUAAUGUCAGAAAUUAAUUUGAUAUUUAUAUGGAUAAGAGAGUGGAAAGAUUUAUAGGAAAGCUGGGAUUAGAAGACAAAUGAUUGAUAGGACCUGCAGGAUGGCUGGAAGGCAGCCUAUUCACCUCCCAGUUCAGUUUCACCACACAUUAUUUACAACAGUCAGAAAUUGCACUGUUCCUCCUGAAGACCUUUUGCUCUCUUUGCAUCAAACAUACACCAUGCCAGAAAAGGUUUCUUCUUUGCCAUCCACCCACCCAGCGCUGUGCCAGGCCAUUGCUGAGAAAAACACCAGUAUUCACAUGUUUGUCAAAUUGUUACUUUUCCAUAGGUUUUUAAUCUUUAUUCUGUUCAUUUUGACACUGCAAAAAUUAAUGGAGCAUUUAAUCAAUUCCAGGUUGUGGAACUUUGAUGAACACUGAUAAAAUGUCUUUACUUACCGAAACAUUUCCCCACAAAUUGCUAAAGAGUAUCACAGAGGUAUGGCAUUCUCCCCCAGAAAAUAUUGCUCAUACAAGUGUUUCUAAAAGCUUCUUCUUGUGCAACAUGCCUUGCCUUCAUUAGAGCACUUCUCUUAAACAAGAAUGAGGCACAGCUUUUGCAACAAAAAGAAAUAAAGCAUUUCAUGAUAGAAUAAGUCUAAGGAAGAUUCUUCAAUGUGAAUAGAGUCUAUUUUUAAAUUACUAGAGAAUCAUUUUGCUGCCACUUUAAGUAUGCUUUGUCUGAGAUGUCAGAAGGAAAUAAGAGCAGAGGCUUUUAUGUGGGAAAGUAAUGGAAACAUCCCAACAGUUUCCAUCAAACUUGUAUUUUUAUUGCAAGACUUCUACUCUUGAUCUUACAGGGUGGAGGUGCCCUAACUCUCUUUACUUACUUGAAAAAUAUUGGAGGAUUCUGAAACCUUCCCAAUGUCCCAAGGUGAAACUACACGAUUGUGAACCUCACCUAAAAAGUCUAGACUACCUGGCUCAAACAAACAAACAAACAAACAACAAAACAAACAACAAAAAACCAAACAAAACCUCCAAAAACAAACAAACAACCCCCCAAAAAAACCCAAAAAAACACCAAAAAGUAAACCAAAACCAUCAGGCACCUUGUCUUGUAAACACAUUAAAACUCAGAUUGAAAAGAAGCAAUGAAAAAUCAAAUCUCUUUUUAUCAAGUGUCAGGAGACAGAAGCUUGUUUUCUAAUAGGCAGAAUUUAUCUCUAAGGAAAAUAAUUCAGAGAUUGAGAAAUGAUCACUGGAUACAGGUUAUUUCAUUUCUGUUUUAAAAGCCAGAUUCUGGAUGAAAGAGUCAGAAAAGAAGAUACACAAGAGGUUUCUCAAGACCAAAGAAGUUCUGAGAAGGGUUGAGAGUGGUGCUCUGAACAGAGAUGCUGCAGAUAACCCAGGGAAAUAAUUUUACUUGAAGUUCAUCAUUGUAGACCUUGGAAUAAAGAUCUUUUAGAGGUUCGAAUUCCUGAAUGGAAAGUAAAAAGAAAAAAGUAAAUAAAUAUAUAUAUUGCAGCUGCUUAGAAAAACUUGUCUACUUUUGGGUAAUUUACAUAUUGCAUCACCUUGCCAAACUAUCAAGCAGCAAGAUAACUUCUAGAUCAUACAUUAUUUCUCUCCACUGCUUCAAUGACAAAUAAAGGAAGGUAAAUCACCUUGCUUACCACAUGCCUGAGGCAAAGCUUAGUCUAAAAUAUUUCAAAGCUAAUAAAACCUGAGUUAGCAGAGAAAAAAAUGUAGAAUUUAACCUGAGUGGCAAAACAAGGUCUAAUUCCUUCACACACACACACAGGACUGUGAUUAACUUUCUACACUUAAGCUGGAUUUGCAGUGUAACAGAGUUCCCCAUAUGCAGAGAAUUAAAUGCAAACAUACAUGCUUGCUGGCUCAAGGCCUACAAGUCUUUUUCCCAAUUCCUAAAUUAUGUUUUUGUCUGACUCUGCUCCUCAGAAGCCAGCAAAAAAAUAUUAAAGAGCUGUUAAAAAAAAUUCAUCUUCAAAUAUUAUUUAGACAGCUGAUGUAUAUAUGAAAAGAAGUUUACAGGAAAGUUACUUGAAGUUGUACAAUUAGUAAAUAGAUUUUGCAUUCAUAUAUUACAUGCAUAAAGUGAUUUUCUAAAGGGAAGUUGCAACCAAAUUAGUUCUUUCUAGUAGAUUUUAUCUAAGCAUUUAAAUUUAUACUUUUAAUUAUUGUCCCAUUUUCUUCUUGUCUAAGUUAUAUUUAAAUUUUGUUGGGGUGAGAGGGAGGAAUAUAGUAAAAAGGUAAUAUCCAAGUAGUAAAGAGGCACAGAGGUACAAUGAAUAAAUGUCUACUUUCCUGAGGUUCAAACAUUUCCUCUUUAGCAUCCUAUUGAACUUUAGAAUUUUUCCAUGCUUAUGUUUACUAUUAUUAUAAACUAAUAACUAUUUAUAGACCAUUUUCCACAAAUUCAACAUUCUUAACACAUGGAGAAGCCAUAUAAAAUAUGUGGGAUGUUGAAAAGAUGGAGAUUUCAUAUAUGCAUUAGGCCAGGUAUAGAUAUUUUCCCAAAUAAACAGAUAAAACAGUCACAACUUCUGUGAAUAUAACACUCACUGCAAUGUUUCCUUGCAAUACUCUUUCUUUCUAGUGUCAGUUUUCUUUCUUUCAUAGCAUGCUAUGUCCUGAGAUAACAUUCACAACAGUAGCACUAUUGUUGUGCAAACAAAAAUGGAACCAUACUGAAAUAUAAAAAAUUCACAAUGAAAUCCAGUCAGGUUUAUUGAACUGACCUACUACUUGAAACACGCUGAAACAGGUGUGCUUUCCAUCACACCACUGUGCAUUCCACUUGUAAAAUUUUCAUCUUUUUUUUUCCCUUCCCAUGGAAUACAUGAAACAGGUCUGCAGCACCAACUCCCAGUUUUUCUGUUGAUCCACUGUUGACCUCUUUUGAUGCAGCCCAGGAUACAAUGGACUUUCUGAGCUGCAAGUGCACAUUGCCAGCUCAUACUCUCCUUGCAUCAAGUCCUCUGCAGGGCUGCCCUCGAUCAAUUUAUUCAUGCAGCCCGCAUUAAUACUGGGGAUUACCCCAGCUCAGGUGCAAGACCUUGCACUUGUUCUUGUUGAACUGCAGGAGCUUUGUACGGGCCUACAAUGCAAUCCUGUCAAAGCCCAGGGUUCCCAUUGGAGGCAUCCCUUCUUGUUAUUGUGUCGACUGAACCACUCAGCUUGGAAUUAUCCACAAACACAAAAGUGCUGGGG